rnacentral:tRNA from 1 species
GGUAUUUCUAGCUUAAAGGUAAAGCAGCAAUUUGUGGAGUUGUCUUAUUUCGGUUCAAAUCCGAAGUCAUACC